AUUGAACGCUGGCGGCAGGCCUAACACAUGCAAGUCGAGCGGAUGAUGGGAGCUUGCUCCUGGAUUCAGCGGCGGACGGGUGAGUAAUGCCUAGGAAUCUGCCUGGUAGUGGGGGACAACGUUUCGAAAGGAACGCUAAUACCGCAUACUUCCUACGGGAGAAAGCAGGGGACCUUCGGUCCUUGCGCUAUCAGAUGAGCCUAGGUCGGAAUAGCUCGUUGGUGAGGUAAUGGCUCACCAAGGCGACGAUCCGUAACUGGUCUGAGAGGAUGCACAGUCACACUGGAACUGAGACGCGGUCCAGACUCGUACGGGAGGCAGCAGUGGGGAAUAUUGGACAAUGGGCGAAAGCCUGAUCCAGCCAUGCCGCGUGUGUGAAGAAGGUCUUCGGAUUGUAAAGCACUUUAAGUUGGGAGGAAGGGUUGUAGAUUAAUACUCUGCAAUUUUGACGUUACCGACAGAAUAAGCACCGGCUAACUCUGUGCCAGCCGCCGCGGUAA
rnacentral:rRNA from 1 species